rnacentral:rRNA from 2 species
CGCCGCGGUUACACGAGAGGCCCAAGUCGAUAAAUGCCGGCGUAAAGGGUGGUUAGGGAAUAAAUUGACUAGAGAAAAACGCUCUUCAAGCUGUUAUACGCUCCCAGGAGUAUGAAAAUCCCACACGAAAGUAACUCUACUUAACCUGAACCCACGACAGCUCUGGUA